GAUAGAGGUCGCGGAGAUUAAAAGUAACGGUCAAAUACGCGCAGGGAGGGCGCGGCCGUGAAAGGAUGAUCCGCCGAAGCUCGCCGGUAUCCCAAAGCCGGUUUGCUGGGACGGCGCAAUAAGAUGUGCCGGACUGUCACGUAAGUGGAGCGCUAUCAU
rnacentral:ncRNA from 1 species